UUCACAAUACAGGGGUGCCUUAACAUGACGGGCUGAGAACAUACCCAUAGAACCUGAACCGGGUAAUGCCGGCGUAGAGAACGAAUAAAUUACACAAUG
rfam:Bacteroides nordii CL02T12C05 genomic scaffold supercont1.1, whole genome shotgun sequence.